rnacentral:rRNA from 1 species
AAAGCUUGCUUUCUUUGCUGGCGACCGGCGCACGGGUGAGUAACACGUAUCCAACCUGCCCUUUACUCGGGGAUAGCCUUUCGAAAGAAAGAUUAAUACCCGAUGGCAUAGUUCUUCCGCAUGGUAGAACUAUUAAAGAAUUUCGGUUAUCGAUGGGGAUGCGUUCCAUUAGGCAGUUGGUGGGGUAACGGCCCACCAAACCUUCGAUGGAUAGGGGUUCUGAGAGGAAGGUCCCCCACAUUGGAACUGAGACACGGUCCAAACGCCUACGGGAGGCAGCCAUG